ACUCACUUGAGCCGCUGUUGUCAGUUUCAACAAAAUGGCUGCUGGAGCGCCACAAACGAAAAUCCAGUGAACGCUUCAUGUCAGUGCAGUAUCAUUUUAAAUGGAUGCAUUGGAAUUUCCCUACCUUCUGAACAUCGGGACAUUUACUCGUGUGGACUCGUUUACAUACGCAUUAACGAACUGAAGGCAUGCUAAAAUAUUUCCCUUUACGCACUUUAUACACACCCCCCAAAAUACAAAAGCUCAAACUGCCAGUGUGCGCGCGUCUGUGUGGGUGCGCGCGUGUGUGUAGCUGCUCCUAAAAUCGUCGUAAUGUUAAAGCUGAUCAACCUUAAGCUGUCUUUGCUGACGUGCAAAAUGGUCUUUUCACUGUUUGCACUGGCAUUUUUUUCCGCAUCUGGAUAAUUUCCCCUGCAUUUUUGAGAGGUGAAUUCCUCAACUGGAAAGCCAGGCUCGCCAUUGCAGAUCACUGCAGGAGCGACUGUCCUGACUGCGACUGAAUAAUAUCUGAUCUGUGUCAGUACGGGUAUCGACAACAGCCUCCUUCGCCAUGCUGCUCAUGCAUCACAUCUGAACAGCAGACCGCAGUUGCUCCGUCUGCAAAAUAAAGCCUUGGGACAAAACACGUCACACAAAAGGAGAACCAUUUGAUGGAAGAAAAGAAAAAGAAAAAGCAAGAGGAAAAGAAAAAGAAGGAAGCUGCUCAGAAAAAGGCUGCUGAACAGAAAACCAAAGGUCAGUUAUGAUUCUCUUUGCAGUGCUGCACUAAAGCAUUAAGUUAAAAGUGUUUCCUUUUUAAGGAUCUUCUUCAUUCAGAUAUGUUCAUACCGCAUGCAUCUUGUUGAAAACCUACGUUGCAUGUGCUGCAGAUAUUUUUUGUGCUAUUGUCAGAAUUAACACAAACAUAAUACCAUUCGCUAUAACGGUAGUUUCGUGUGAGACUGCAGUACAUUUGAUCAGAAUCUGCACAGUUAUUUAUGUGGGUGAACUGAAUGACUGGCACAAGACGGCACAGCAGUUGGUAGAGACAAAUCGACUACGACUGGUGACUGCUGAGAGAUUCAGACGUUUGCACUUUAAACAUUUCAAAUUUGAAUGUUAGUAAAUCAGGAUUGUUUUCCUUAUUGUAAUAUCUAAUGAAUUAUUCACUAACACAUAGGCUGAGCAUAAAAUAUUUUACAUAGUGAUGCACCGAUGUGAAAAUUGUAGCCGAUACCGAUAACCGAUAUUAAUAUUGCUGUUAUGGCCGAUACCGAUAUUUACCGAUGUCGAUAUCUCUGCCAGGCCGCACAAUAUUGGUAAAAAUGACAUUUUAUGUUUAUAUUUUAUUUUUCUGCAAUAUAUAUAUAUAUAUUGCGAUAUAAAUACAAUUCCACCCGAUGACUCGAAUAGCUCUAUUUGGAAAGAAUGAAUCAUUGUAGAAUGAAUGGGGUGGUUUUGUCAUGAAGUAAAUCGCAUAGAAACUUAUAUUAAUAGAAUGUCAACUAAUGUCAUUAAAUAGACUUUAAUAAAUGGAACCGUUACCUUAUUGUGAAGUGUUUUCCAAUUUAUGUCUCUUGAGUUCAGUGUUGGACAGAUCAGUUGUUUUAACCGUUUAUUAAAGUGAAUCGGUUCAAAUGAGUCAUAAGUUUGCGAAUCGGACUUGUCAUUAACGGACAACGGCACACGUUGUGCGAUUUAUCCAGGCAGUUUUGGACAUCGCACAAGAUUUGUCUCAAAACAGAAAACAUUUCAUCACUAGAUUGUUUAACUAACUUGUUUAUUGAAACUGUGGUUUAUGUCAUCUGAAUGUGUGGAAAGCUUUUUAAGGCUGUGUUAAUUUAGCACAAUUCACAACCAGUGGUAGUUCAGAAAAAAACAAAAAAAAAACAUUGUGUAUUCUCAAAGAUAUUCAGUCAACUCAAUUCAUUAAUAUGUGCGAGCGAGGGAGAGUAAGCAAAACGGUGAGAGUGUGCGUGCGCGACCGGGGCUUUAACUCUCUCUGCUCCUUCUCUCAGUUAAACAAGCGCAGCAGUCAGUCAUCUACAUCACUCACCGGUCAAAUACGGCUUUGGCGGGUCAAAAAUGCCCCUUAGUAAGGCUGACAGAAAACAGCAUGCAAGUUCCGUGCAAGUUGUUUGAUUGAAUUCUGUGAUGGAAAUGCCAUUUAAGGUUUUUUUAAAUCGUGUGAAAAUCACAAUUUAAAAUGGCUGACUUUAUCUUGCUUAGACUAAUUUCAUAGUUAACAUUAGUUCUAAAUACACAAUUUUUAUAC